GUCCUAGCUGUAAACGAUGGGUGCUUGGUGUAGCGGGUAUCGACCCCUGCUGUGCCGAAGCUAACGCAAUUAAGCACCCCGCCUGGGGAGUACGGUAGCAAAGGCUGAAAACUCAAAGGAAUUGACGGGGGGCCCGCACAAGCGGUGGAGCAUGUGGUUCAAUUCGAACGCAACGCGAAAGAACCUUACCUGGGUUUGAACUGCCGAUGUAAAACUUCAGAGAUGAGGUCCUCCCGCAAGGGACAUCGGCAGAGGUGCUGCAUGGCUGUCGU
rnacentral:rRNA from 1 species